AGAUUACAACGGCUACCUGACGUCAUCUUUUUUUCUAAUUGGAGCA
rnacentral:ncRNA from 1 species